AGGUCAUCCCCAAGGUUUAGGAACUCUUUUCUCAAUUGUGGUGGACAUCACCAUGAAAAAAAAUUUCCCACUGGGUUUCUGCCUGGUACCUUUCUAACAAUUGGUCUAUUGAGAGCAUUC
rnacentral:snoRNA from 1 species